AACGAACGCUGGCGGCAUGCCUAACACAUGCAAGUCGAACGAGACCUUCGGGUCUAGUGGCGCACGGGUGCGUAACGCGUGGGAACCUGCCCUUAGGUUCGGAAUAACUCCCCGAAAGGGGUGCUAAUACCGGAUAAUGUCUUCGGACCAAAGAUUUAUCGCCUUUGGAUGGGCCCGCGUUGGAUUAGCUAGUUGGUAGGGUAAAAGCCUACCAAGGCGACGAUCCAUAGCUGGUCUGAGAGGAUGAUCAGCCACACUGGGACUGAGACACGGCCCAGACUGCUACGGGAGGCAGCAGUGGGGAAUAUUGGACAAUGGGCGAAAGCCUGAUCCAGCAAUGCCGGGUGAGUGAUGAAGGCCUUAGGGUUGUAAAGCUCUUUUACCCGGGAUGAUAAUGACAGUACCGGGAGAAUAAGCUCCGGCUAACUCCGUG
rnacentral:rRNA from 1 species